rnacentral:lncRNA from 1 species
UUUAGCUUAUGUCUCCAUAUGUUUGUUAAUAUGGUAGUUACUGUUUGUUAUUAUUGUAUUAUUGCAUGCGACUGUAUUUAUGUUGCUUAUGUUUUCAUGAGUACUUACAUUAUUAUUGCAGGAGUACCUAUGCUUUAUUAUUUGUUUUGUUUUGCUUGUGUUUCUAAUUUUACCUUUGUUUUCGUAAUGCAGCUUUCCCUCUUUUUAUCCUACACGCCGAGGGUCGUUUGGAAACAGCCCC